UACGUAGGGUGCGAGCGUUGUCCGGAAUUAUUGGGCGUAAAGGGCUCGUAGGCGGUUUGUCGCGUCGGGAGUGAAAACCCAGGGCUUAACCCUGGGCUGGCUUCCGGAUACGGGCAGACUAGAGGUAUGCAGGGGAGAACGGAAUUCCUGGUGUAGCGGUGAAAUGCGCAGAUAUCAGGAGGAACACCGGUGGCGAAGGCG
rnacentral:rRNA from 1 species